rnacentral:rRNA from 1 species
UGAGCAAUCUGCCCUUCUCUUCGGAAUAAGCGUUGGAAACGACGUCUGAUGCCGAAUACGACCUCCUUUCGCAUGAUCGGAGGUGGAAAGCUCCGGCGGAGAAGGAUGAGCUCGCAGCCUAUCAGCUAGUUGGUGUGGAUAACGGCCCACCAAGGCGACGACGGGUAGCCGGCCUGAGAGGAUGGCCAGCCACAUUGGGACUGAGACACGGCCCAGAUCCGUACGGGG